rnacentral:lncRNA from 1 species
UUUCAUUAAUUCAUCUGUACCAGUCUCUUUAUUACCCUUUAAGACGUUUUGAUUGGCUACCUUGAGUAGUAGAGGUGCUUUAGGGUGUGGCAUUCCUUGUUGCUGCCUCAUCAUCCGUCCGUAGUUUCGCUGGAAACGCCUUUGUUGAGUCCUAGUCAUCUCAUCGAAGGGUAUUGCUCUUCCUGCAGUGUACUGGAAUGAAUGCCAUACAUUUGGCCGGCGAGGUUGCGGCCUAAAUGUUCUUCCAACAUCUGUUGGUCUGAACUGCCUUUCAAAAGGUGGUCCUCUAUAGAAUGAUGUACCUCGUCCUCUACCAGGCUGAACGUUUGGGAAGAAAACAGGGCGACGAGGAUGCUGCCAUGUCUCUGGUUUCUCCGUGUUUCCAUUUACUUCCCUUUUACACCUUGCACACAGGACGUCUUCGUCCUUUUUUGGUUCUUUUCCUUUGAU